GACGAACGCUGGCGGCGCGCUUAACACAUGCAAGUCGAACGGAAAGGCCUGCUUUCCCUUGUGGAUUGCGGGUACUCGAGUGGCGAACGGGUGAGUAACACGUGAGUGAUCUGCCCCCAACUUGGGUAUAAGCCUGGGAAACUGGGUCUAAUUCCCGAUAGGACUGCAGGGUGGUGCCUGUGGUGGAAAACGAUUUUCUAGUGGUUGGGGAUGAGCUCGCGGCCUAUCAGCUUGUUGGUGGGGUAAUGGCCUACCAAGGCGGCGACGGGUAGCCGGCCUGGGAGGGGGGACGGGGACAGUGGGACUGAGAUACGGCCCAGACGCCGACGGGAGGCAGCAGUGGGGAAGAGUGGACGAUGGGCGGAAGCCUGAUGCAGCGACGCCGCGUGGGGGAUGACGGGCUUCGGGUGGUAAACUCCUUUCGGGCGCGAGGAAGCCACCUGGUUGGAAGGGUGGUGACGGUAGUGGUAGAAGAAGCACCGGCUAACUACGUG
rnacentral:rRNA from 1 species